rnacentral:siRNA from 1 species
UAUGAUCGGUGCAGAUAAUCA